CCUACGGGGGGCAGCAGUGAGGAAUAUUGGUCAAUGGUCGGGAGACUGAACCAGCCAAGCCGCGUGAGGGAUGAAGGUACAGAGUAUCGUAAACCUCUUUUGUCAGGGAACAAAGGCGGGGACGUGUCCCCGGAUGAGUGUACCUGAAGAAAAAGCAUCGGCUAACUCCGUGCCAGCAGCCGCGGUAAUACGGAGGAGGCGAGCGUUAUCCGGAUUUAUGGGGUUUAAAGGGUGCGCAGGCGGGCUGUUAAGUCAGCGGUCAAAGCCCGGGGCUACACCCCGGCCCGCCGUUGAAACUGGCAGUCUCGAGUUGGCGAGAAGUAUGCGGCAUGCGCGGUGUAGCGGUGAAAUGCUUAGAUAUCGCGCAGAACUCCGAUUGCGAAGGCAGCAUGCCGGCUCCACCCUGACGCUGAGGCACGAAAGCGUGGGUAUCGAACAGGAUUAGAUACCCCGGUAGUC
rnacentral:rRNA from 1 species